GCCCUGGUGGUCUAGUGGUUAAGAUUCAGGGCUCUCAACUGCGGCGGCCCAGGUUCAUUUCCUGGUCAGGGAA
rnacentral:tRNA from 1 species